rnacentral:rRNA from 1 species
GACGAACGCUGGCGGCGUGCCUAAUACAUGCAAGUCGAGCGCAGGAAGUCAUCCGAACCCUUCGGGGGGACGUUGACGGAAUGAGCGGCGGACGGGUGAGUAACACGUAAAGAACCUGCCCUCAGGUCUGGGAUAACCACGAGAAAUCGGGGCUAAUACCGGAUGGUCCUCGGACCGCCUUGUCCGAGGGUGAAAAGCGCCCCCGCGUCGCCUGGGGAUGGCUUUGCGGUGCAUUAGCUAGUUGGUGGGGUAAUGGCCCACCAAGGCGACGAUGCAUAGCCGACCUGAGAGGGUGAUCGGCCACACUGGGACUGAGACACGGCCCAGACUCCUACGGGAGGCAGCAGUAGGGAAUCUUCCACAAUGGACGAAAGUCUGAUGGAGCAACGCCGCGUGAACGAUGAAGGCCCUCGGGUCGUAAAGUUCUGUUGUAAGGGAAGAACAAGUGCCGCAGGCAAUGGCGGCACCUUGACGGUACCUUGCGAGAAAGCCACGGCUAACUACGU